rnacentral:rRNA from 1 species
GAACAGGCAGUGGAAACUGAAUAGCUAGGGUGCGGUANGGGCAGAGGGAAUUCCCAGUGUAGCGGUGAAAUGCGUAGAGAUUGGGAAGAACACCGGUGGCGAAAGCGCUCUGCUAGGCCGUAACUGACACUCAUGGACGAAAGCUAGGGGAGCGAAUGGGAUUAGAUACCCCAGUAGUCCUAGCCGUAAACGAUGGAUACUAGACGUUGCUCGCAUCGACCCGAGCAGUGCCGUAGCUAACGCGUUAAGUAUCCCGCCUGGGGAGUACGCGCGCAAGCGUGAAACUCAAAGGAAUUGACGGGGGCCCGCACAAGCGGUGGAGUAUGUGGUUUAAUCCGAUGCAACGCGAAGAACCUUACCAGGACUUGACAUGUCGCGAAUCUUUGGGAAACUAAAGAGUGCCUUCGGGAGCGCGAACACAGGUGGUGCAUGGCUGUCGUCGGCUCGUGUCGUGAGAUGCUGGGUUAAGUCCCGCAACGAGCGCAACCCUCGUUCUUAGUUGCCAGCAUUAAGUUGGGCACUCUAGGGAGACUGCCGGUGAUAAACCGGAGGAAGGUGGGGAUGACGUCAAGUCAGCAUGCCCCUUACGUCCUGGGCUACACACGUACUACAAUGCUACGGACAAAGGGUCGCAAGCAUGCGAAUGCAAGCAAAUCCCAUAAACCGUGGCUCAGUUCAGAUUGCAGGCUGCAACUCGCCUGCAUGAAGGCGGAAUCGCUAGUAAUCCCAGAUCAGCACGCUGGGGUGAAUACGUUCCCGGGCCUUGUACA